UACAGAGGUCCCGAGCGUUGUUCGGAUUUAUUGGGCGUAAAGGGGGCGUAGGUGGCAAAGUAAGUUGGAUGUGAAAUCCUGGGGCUCAACCUCAGAAUUGCAUUCAAUACUGCUUAGCUAGAGAGCUGUAGAGGAGACUGGAAUUUACGGUGUAGCAGUGAAAUGCGUAGAUAUCGUAAGGAACGCCAGUGGCGAAAGCGAGUCUCUGGGCAGCAUCUGACACUGAGGCACGAAGGCCAGGGGAGCAAACGGG
rnacentral:rRNA from 1 species